rnacentral:rRNA from 1 species
GACGAACGCUGGCGGCGUGCCUAAUACAUGCAAGUCGAACGCAGUGGGGACGGGUGAGUAACACGUGGGUAACCUCCCAUCAGAGGGGAUAACACUUGGAAACAGGUGCUAAACCGAUACUGAUGGAUGGACCCGCGGUGCAUUAGCUAGUUGGUGAGGUAACGGCUCACCAAGGCCACGAUGCAUAGUCGACCUUGGGUGGUGAUCGGCCAACCUGGGACUGAGACACGGCCCAUACUCCUACGUGGGGCAGCCGUAGGGAAUCCUUGGCCAUGGAACGAAUGCUGACCGAGGCAAGCCGCGUGAGUGAAGAAGGUUUUUGGAUCGUAAAACUCUGUUUUUAGAGAAGCGGUAUCUAACCAGAAAGCCACGGCUAACUACGUGCCAGCAGCCGCGGUAAUAC